GUGCUCACUUUGGCAGCACAUAUACUAAGAUUAGAGUGAUACAGAGAUUAGCAUGGCCCCUGUGUAAGGAUGACAUGGGAAUUUGUGAAGCAUUCCAUAUUGUU